AAAAAAUUAGUUAAAUUUAUAACAUUAGCUUGUCAAACUAAAAUUAUUUUAAAAAUAUUUUUUA
rnacentral:tRNA from 1 species